rnacentral:rRNA from 1 species
GAUAUGAACUCUCCGAAAAAAUUACGCUGUUAUCCCUAAGGUAAGUUAAUCUUAUAAUCAAAAAUUCUGGAUCAAAAAAACAUAAAUUAAUGAAUAUAAAUAUUAAAAGUUUAAUAAAUUUUAAUGUCACCCCAACAAAACUUUAUAUUCUAAAAAAUUGUUUAAUUAACAAAAAACAAAAACUUAUAAAUAAAGUAAACUUCUAUAGGGUCUUCUCGUCCUAUAAAAAAAUUUUAGCUUUUUAACUAAAAAAUUAAAUUCAAAAUAAUUUAAAAAAGAAAGUUUAUUUUUCAUCAAACCAUUCAUACUAGCCUUCAAUUAAAAGACAAAUGAUUAUGCUACCUUCGUACAGUUAAAAUACCGCAGCCUUUUAAUUCAUAAAAAUCAAUGGGCAGGUCUGAUCUUAAAUUAAAAUCAAAAGACC